rnacentral:rRNA from 1 species
AUACGGAGGGUGCGAGCGUUAAUCGGAAUUACUGGGCGUAAAGCGCGCGUAGGCGGUUGGAUAAGUCGGAUGUGAAAGCCCCGGGCUCAACCUGGGAAUUGCAUUCGAAACUGUCCGGCUAGAGUAUGGUAGAGGGAAGCGGAAUUCCACAUGUAGCGGUGAAACGCGUAGAUAUGUGGAGGAACACCAGUGGCGAAGGCGGCUUCCUGGACCAAUACUGACGCUGAGGUGCGAAAGCGUGGGGAGCAAACAGGAUUAGAAACCCCUGUAGUCC